rnacentral:lncRNA from 1 species
GGGCAUCCUUAAAUGCAUACAAAAACUAAAAAAAAAAAGAAAAUCUUAAAAUCAGCAAACCUAAUUUCAUGCAAAUUUCAAAAAUUAACUCCAUCUUCUUGCUCCUGCAAUUAUAGAGAAAAACCUCAAGAGCCCCAUUUCAUUUUCUCUCUCCAACCGAAAACCUCUUUUCAAUUUCUCUCACAGAGAAACCCCCUUUCAAUUUGUAUUUCUUUACUCUCUUUAACAGGAAACCUCCUUUCAAUUUCUAUUUCAUUUUCUCUCCCUAACAGAAAACCCCCUUUCAAUUUCUCUCACAGAUAAAACCCCUUUUCAAUUUCUCUCUAACAUAGAAACCCCCUCUUUCUCUAACAUAGAAAUCCCCUUUCAUUUUCUAAUGCUUUCAGCUGCAGCCCAUCCUCCCCUUUCAGCUCCAGGCAUCUCCCUGCUUUCAAUGGAGUAGCUAUUCAGCUCCAAGCCUCUCUCUGUUUUCAAUGAAGCAGCGAUUACCCAUACUCUCCCGUUCAGCUCCAGUCCAACCUCCCUUUCAACUCCAGGCCUCUCCCUGGUUUGAAGGAAGCAGAGAUUACCCAUAGCCUUCAGGCGUCUUCCUAUUUUCAG